AUUGAACGCUGGCGGUAUGCUUAACACAUGCAAGUCGAACGGUAACAGGCCUUCGGGCGCUGACGAGUGGCGGACGGGUGCGUAACGCGUAGGAAUCUGCCUGUUAGUGGGGGACAACGUGGGGAAACUCACGCUAAUACCGCAUACGCCCUACGGGGGAAAGCGGGGGACCUUCGGGCCUCGCGCUAACAGAUGAGCCUGCGUUGGAUUAGCUAGUUGGUAGGGUAAAGGCCUACCAAGGCGACGAUCCAUAGCUGGUCUGAGAGGACGAUCAGCCACACUGGGACUGAGACACGGCCCAGACUCCUACGGGAGGCAGCAGUGGGGAAUAUUGGACAAUGGGCGCAAGCCUGAUCCAGCAAUACCGCGUGUGUGAAGAAGGCCUGAGGGUUGUAAAGCACUUUCAAUGGGGAGGAAUACCUGGUGGCGAAUACCCAUCAGACUGACAUUACCCAUACAAGAAGCACCGGCUAACUCCGUGCCAGCCGCCGCGGUAAAAC
rnacentral:rRNA from 1 species